UACGUAGGUGGCAAGCGUUGUCCGGAUUUACUGGGCGUAAAGAGUGUGUAGGCGGAUAAUUAAGUCAGGUGUGAAAUCCCGAGGCUCAACCUCGGAGGUGCAUUUGAUACUGGUUAUCUAGAGUGCAGGAGAGGAGAGUGGAAUUCCUAGUGUAGCGGUGAAAUGCGUAGAGAUUAGGAAGAACACCAGUGGCGAAGGCGACUCUCUGGACUGUAACUGACGCUGAGACACGAAAGCGUGGGGAGCGAACAGGAUUAGAUACCCGCGUA
rnacentral:rRNA from 1 species